CAUUACCGAGUUUACAACUCCCAAACCCAAUGUGAACGUUACCAAACUGUUGCCUCGGCGGGAUCUCUGCCCCGGGUGCGUCGCAGCCCCGGACCAAGGCGCCCGCCGGAGGACCAACCUAAAACUCUUAUUGUAUACCCCCUCGCGGGUUUUUUUUAUAAUCUGAGCCUUCUCGGCGCCUCUCGUAGGCGUUUCGAAAAUGAAUCAAAACUUUCAACAACGGAUCUCUUGGUUCUGGCAUCGAUGAAGAACGCAGCGAAAUGCGAUAAGUAAUGUGAAUUGCAGAAUUCAGUGAAUCAUCGAAUCUUUGAACGCACAUUGCGCCCGCCAGUAUUCUGGCGGGCAUGCCUGUCCGAGCGUCAUUUCAACCCUCGAACCCCUCCGGGGGGUCGGCGUUGGGGAUCGGCCCUCCCUUAGCGGGUGGCCGUCUCCGAAAUACAGUGGCGGUCUCGCCGCAGCCUCUCCUGCGCAGUAGUUUGCACACUCGCAUCGGGAGCGCGGCGCGUCCACAGCCGUUAAACACCCAACUUCUGAAAUGUUGACCUCGGAUCAGGUAGGAAUACCCGCUGAACUUAAGCAUA
rnacentral:rRNA from 1 species